GUCCCAUUAGAGGAAGUAAAAGUCGUAACAAGGUUUCCGUAGGUGAACCUGCGGAAGGAUCAUUAACGAGUUUGAAAUCGAGAGCCUGUUGCUGGUGCGGAAACGUACAUCGUGCACGGCUCCCGUGCUCAAUCCAUUUCAACCCCCUUGUGCACCUUAUCGAAGUCAGUAGUCUUUCUCUUUUUGUUUGCCGGUUGUGUGCGGGAACCUCUUUCUGUUCACUUGGCCGGCGAGGAGAAAUAGAGGGUCGAAAGCUUUGACUUUUCUGUUAAACACUUUGUAUGUCUUGUGGAACGUAUUAGCUCCUUUGUAGGGGCGAAAUAAAUACAACUUUCAACAACGGAUCUCUUGGCUCUCGCAUCGAUGAAGAACGCAGCGAAAUGCGAUAAGUAAUGUGAAUUGCAGAAUUCAGUGAAUCAUCGAAUCUUUGAACGCACCUUGCGCCCCUUGGUAUUCCGAGGGGCAUGCCUGUUUGAGUGUCAUGUUAAUCUCAAACCCCUUGUCUUUUUUGUUGACUUGGUCGGUUUGGACUUGGAGGUGUUGCUGGCGUGCGUCGGCUCCUCUUAAUUGCAUUAGCUGGACUUUGGUUCGCAUUUGACGGUGUAAUAGUAAAGUGUUCGCCGGGCGUGCUUGCCUAACGGGUCUGCUUCUAAUCGUCUUCGGACAACUCUGUUCAUUUUGACCUUUGACCUCAAAUCAGGUAGGACUACCCGCUGAACUUAAGCAUAUCAAUAAGCCGGA
rnacentral:rRNA from 1 species